rnacentral:rRNA from 1 species
AGAAUCAACGCUGGCGGCGUGCCUAACACAUGCAAGUCGCACGAGAAAGGGACUUCGGUCCUGAGUACAGUGGCGCACGGGUGAGUAACGCGUGAAUAAUCUACCUCCGAGUGGGGAAUAACUGAGAGAAAUCUUAGCUAAUACCGCAUAACACUUACGAGUCAAAGCAGCAAUGCGCUUGGAGAGGAGUUCGCGGCAGAUUAGUUAGUUGGCGGGGUAAUGGCCCACCAAGACGAUGAUCUGUA